UACAGGGGGGGCAAGCGUUGUUCGGAAUUACUGGGCGUAAAGGGGUUGUAGGCGGCCAACUAAGUCACCCGUGAAAUCCCCAGGCUUAACCUGGGAACUGCGUGUGAUACUGGAUGGCUUGAAUUCGGGAGAGGGAUGCAGAAUUCCAGGUGUAGCGGUGAAAUGCGUAGAUAUCUGGAGGAAUACCGGUGGCGAAGGCGGCAUCCUGGACCGACAUUGACGCUGAAAACCGAAGCUAGGGGAGCAAACGGG
rnacentral:rRNA from 1 species